GUGAUUUCUGCUAAAGAAAUCUUUUGCAAGUCGUAAAACCANUAGUGAAUAAGGGGUGGGCAAGUUCUGGUGUCAGCCGCCGCGGUAAAACCAGCACCUCAAGUGGUCAGGAGGAUUAUUGGGCCUAAAGCAUCCGUAGCCGGCUCUGUUAGUUUUCGGUUAAAUCCAUGCGCUCAACGUAUGGGCUGCCGAGAAUACUGCAUAGCUAGGGAGUGGGAGAGGUAGACGGUACUCGGUAGGAAGGGGUAAAAUCCUUUGAUCUAUCGAUGACCACCUGUGGCGAAGGCGGUCUACCAGAACACGUUCGACGGUGAGGGAUGAAAGCUGGGGGAGCAAACCGGAUUAGAUACCCGGGUAGUCCCAGCUGUAAACGAUGCAGACUCGAUGAUGCAUUGGCAUAUAGCCAGUGCAGUGUCGCAGGGAAGCCGUUAAGUCUGCCGCCUGGGAAGUACGUACGCAAGUAUGAAACUUAAAGGAAUUGGCGGGGGAGCACCACAAGGGGUGAAGCCUGCGGUUCAAUUGGAGUCAACGCCAGAAAUCUUACCCGGAGAGACAGCAGAAUGAAGGUCAAGCUGAAGACUUUACCAGACAAGCUGAGAGGUGGUGCAUGGCCGUCGCCAGCUCGUGCCGUGAGAUGUCCUGUUAAGUCAGGUAACGAGCGAGAUCCCUGCCAUUAGUUGCUAUCAUUAUUCUCAGGAAUAGUGGAGCGAACUAGUGGGACUGCCGUUGUUAAAACGGAGGAAGGAAGGGGCUACGGCAGGUCAGUAUGCCCCGAAACUCUGGGGCCACACGCGGGCUGCAAUGGUAGUGACAAUGAGUUCCAAACUCGAAAGAGAGUGGCAAUCUCCAAACACUACCACAGUUAUGACUGAGGGCUGUAACUCGCCCUCACGAAUAUGGAAUCCCUAGUAACCGCGCGUCAUNACCACGCGGUGAAUACGUCCCUGCUCCUUGCACACACCGCCCGUCGU
rnacentral:rRNA from 1 species